AUUGAACGCUGGCGGCAGGCCUAACACAUGCAAGUCGAGCGCGCGGCGGACGGGUGAGUAAUGUCUGGGAAACUGCCUGAUGGAGGGGGAUAACUACUGGAAACGGUAGCUAAUACCGCAUACCAUCAGAUGUGCCCAGAUGGGAGUAGCUAGUAGGUUGUGUAACGGCUCCCCUAGGCGACACUCCCUAGCUGGUCUGAGAGGAUGAACAGCCACAGUGGAACUGAGACACGGUCCAGACGCCUACGGGAGGCAGCAGUGGGGAAGAUUGCACAAUGGGCGCAAGCCUGAUGCAGCCAUGCCGCGUGUGUGAAGAAGGCCUUCGGGUUGUAAAGCACUUUCAGCGGGGAGGCGUUACCCGCAGAAGAAGCACCGGCUAACUCCGUGCCAGCAGCCGCGGGAAGAC
rnacentral:rRNA from 1 species